rnacentral:rRNA from 1 species
GAUGAACGCUGGCGGCGUGCCUAAUACAUGCAAGUCGAGCGAACAGACGAGGAGCUUGCUCCUCUGACGUUAGCGGCGGACGGGUGAGUAACACGUGGAUAACCUACCUAUAAGACUGGGAUAACUUCGGGAAACCGGAGCUAAUACCGGAUAAUAUAUUGAACCGCAUGGUUCAAUAGUGAAAGGCGGUUUUGCUGUCACUUAUAGAUGGAUCCGCGCCGCAUUAGCUGGUUGGUAAGGUAACGGCUUACCAAGGCAACGAUGCGUAGCCGACCUGAGAGGGUGAUCGGCCACACUGGAACUGAGACACGGUCCAGACUCCUACGGGAGGCAGCAGUAGGGAAUCUUCCGCAAUGGGCGAAAGCCUGACGGAGCAACGCCGCGUGAGUGAUGAAGGUCUUCGGAUCGUAAAACUCUGUUAUUAGGGAAGAACAAAUGUGUAAGUAACUAUGCACGUCAUGACGGUACCUAAUCAGAAAGCCACGGCUAACUACGUG